rnacentral:rRNA from 1 species
AUUGAACGCUGGCGGCAGGCCUAACACAUGCAAGUCGAGCGGAUGAAGGGAGCUGGCUCCUGGAGUCAGCGGCGGACGGGUGAGUAAUGCCUAGGAAUCUGCCUGGUAGUGGGGGAUAACGUCCGGAAACGGGCGCUAAUACCGCAUACGUCCUGAGGGAGAAAGUGGGGGAUCGUCGGACCUCACGCUAUCAGAUGAGCCUAGGUCGGAUUAGCUAGUUGGUGGGGUAGAGGCCUACCAAGGCGACGAUCCGUAACUGGUCUGAGAGGAUGAUCAGUCACACUGGAAGUGAGACACGGUCCAGAGUCCUAGGGGAGGCAGAAGUGGGGAAUAGUGGACAAUGGGGGAAAGCCUGAUCCAGCCAUGCAGCGUGUGUGAAGAAGGUCUUCGGAUUGUAAAGCACUUUAAGUUGGGAGGAAGGGCAGUAAGUUAAUACCUUGCUGUUUUGACGUUACCAACAGAAUAAGCACCGGCUAACUUCGUG